UACGUAGGGUGCAGGCGUUAAUCGGAAUUACUGGGCGUAAAGCGUGCGCAGGCGGUUUGCUAAGUCAGGUGUGAAAUCCCCGGGCUUAACCUGGGAACUGCGCUUGUAACUGGCAAGCUAGAGUGUGGCAGAGGGGGGUGGAAUUCCAGGUGUAGCAGUGAAAUGCGUAGAGAUCUGGAGGAACACCGAUGGCGAAGGCAGCCCCCUGGGCUAACACUGACGCUCAUGCACGAAAGCGUGGGGAGCAAACAGG
rnacentral:rRNA from 1 species